UUUUUCAUAUUAACAACAACUACAUUUCUUAUCUUUCUUACGAGGGAUUUGUAACGAGCUUGGAGUCUUGAGAGAAUAUUUUAAAAUUACCAGCUAUACAGUAUUUAUCUAUCAAUGGAAUUUUGAGUAGAAGAGCUACAUUUAAAAACUUGGCAGACUACGAUUGACUGACUUCGAGACAGUGAUGUUUUAGAAAUUUUUUAAGAGAAAGUGCUCGUUGAAGUUGUUGCUGUUAGUUACGAAGAACCACGCCCACUUGAAACAAAUGAGAGAGAUGAUGUUAGCAGGUGUUUUGU